GCUUCUGCUCUACAUGAGGGCAGCAACCAGUGAAAGACCCCCGGAGUGGGGAGACCCUCACUCAAGUCUCAGGAUGACACAACCCCCCAAGAACUCACACAAGACU
rnacentral:pre_miRNA from 14 species